UACAGAGACGUCGAGCGUUGUUCGGAUUCAUUGGGCGUAAAGGGUGCGUAGGCGGCGCGGUAAGUCGGGUGUGAAAUCUCGGAGCUUAACUCCGAAACUGCAUUCGAUACUGCCGUGCUUGAGGACUGGAGAGGAGACUGGAAUUUACGGUGUAGCGGUGAAAUGCGUAGAUAUCGUAAGGAAGACCAGUGGCGAAGGCGGGUCUCUGGACAGUUCCUGACGCUGAGGCACGAAGGUCAGGGGAGCAAACGGG
rnacentral:rRNA from 1 species